UGGGGAAUAUUGCACAAUGGGGGAAACCCUGAUGCAGCGACGCCGCGUGAGCGAAGAAGGCUUUCGAGUCGUAAAGCUCUGUCCUAUGAGAAGCUAAUGACGGUAUCAUAGGCGGAAGCCCUGGCUAACUACGUGCCAGCAGCCGCGGUAAUACGUAUGGGGCGAGCGUUGUCCGGAAUUAUUGGGCGUAAAGGGUACGUAGGUGGUUUUUUAAGUCAGGUGUCAAAGCGUGGAGCUUAACUCCAUUAAGCACUUGAAACUGAAAGACUUGAGUGAAGGAGAGGAAAGUGGAAUUCCUAGUGUAGCGGUGAAAUGCGUAGAUAUUAGGAGGAAUACCGGUGGCGAAGGCGACUUUCUGGACUUUUACUGACGCUCAGGUACGAAAGCGUGGGGAGCAAACAGG
rnacentral:rRNA from 1 species